UACGGAGGGUGCGAGCGUUAAUCGGAGUUACUGGGCGUAAAGGGCGCGUAGGCGGUUUAUUAAGAUUGAUGUGAAAUCCCUGGGCUUAACCUAGGAACGGCAUCGAUGACUGAUGGACUGGAGUAUUGUAGAGGGUAGUGGAAUUUCCGGUAUAGCGGUGAAAUGCGUAGAGAUCGGAAGGAACACCAGUGGCGAAGGCGGCUACCUGGACAAAUACUGACGCUGAGGCGCGAGAGCGUGGGGAGCAAACAGG
rnacentral:rRNA from 1 species